UUUUAGCCCUGCUAAUAGUGGAAAUCCUUUUUUGCCGGCCCCUAUAGCUAUCGGGAGGCAUAAAAGAUUGUAACGGAUAGCAGGAUUAGCU
rnacentral:sRNA from 1 species